ensembl:miRNA microRNA 660
UACCCAUUGCAUAUCGGAGUUGUGAAUUCUCAAAGCACCUCCUGUGUGCAUGGAUUACA